rnacentral:rRNA from 1 species
UACGUAGGGGGCAAGCGUUGUCCGGAUUUAUUGGGCGUAAAGAGCGUGUAGGCGGCCAGGUAGGUCAGCUGUGAAAACUCGAGGCUCAACCUCGAGACGUCGGUUGAAACCACCUGGCUAGAGUCCGGAAGAGGAGAGUGGAAUUCCUGGUGUAGCGGUGAAAUGCGCAGAUAUCAGGAAGAACACCCGUGGCGAAGGCGGCUCUCUGGGCCUGUACUGACGCUGAGGAGCGAAAGCGUGGGGAGCGAACAGG